AAGAAUUAGACAAAAAAUAGGAAUUACAGGUGUGUUCUGUGCCAUAUGUUCAUCUUUAUAAUCACCCAAAAAUAGCAUCAUGAAUUAUAUACGACAACGAUAAUUUAUGCUCUCAAUUCUAUUUACACAACACCCAUUCAUUCUAAGGACCUCUAUAAAAAAAAAUUCCCUGGUGUGUUAACCUGACAAUGAACAGAAGGCAAUCUGUCAUUGCUUAUUAGACUUCCACUCCAUGAUUGCAGACAGAAGUGUAUAGUUUGGUAAGAGAUUCUUAUUUGGCAAAGGCAAAUUUGUCAUUGGUGAUUUAUCAUUCUCUUCAAGCCAUUUCUCAAUUGCUUUGCGGUCAUAAGUGUAUCCAUCCGAAGCAACACAAGGGUCAAUCAUUAUAUCCUUUAAUAUCGGGCAGAUGAAGUGGCUAGGAGGUGUGGGGUGAAUACUGGAAGUUGUAUCUCGGGCCUUAUCAGCAAUCUCCUUCAAUCUCUCUAGUGCAGGAAGUACUUGAUCUUUCAAAUCAGGUCUGUCCCUUCGACGCAACUCGGCACAUCUUAGUCCCAGUAAAGCCAAUUCUUUUGUCUCUUCAUGUGGCCAAUUCCCAGCUUCUGAAUCUAAAAUCUCCAAUAAACGACCAUCAUCAAUUGCUGUUUCCAUUAUGUGUGUCAAUGCUUUUGCUGGUUUUGCAGUCAGCAACUGCAAAAUUACCAUCCCAAAGGCAUAAACAUCUGAUUUUGGAGAAACCAGCCCAGUUCUUUGAUAUUCCGGAUCUAUGUAGCAGAGUGUCCCUACUAGCCCUGUGUCCUUGUACGUUGUGGUUGCAAAGGAAGCAUCUGUAUUGAGCACCGUUGAAAGGCCAACAUCACCAAUCUUGCUCACAAGGUUGUGAUCAAGUAAGAUGUUAGCUGGUUUCAUAUCACGAUGAAUAAUUGGCUUUGGCUUAGAGUUGUGAAGAAAAACAAGAGCUGAGGCCACUUCCCAAGCUAUUCGGUACCUUUCAAACCAUGGGAUUGGUGGUGUAUUGUUCACCCUGAGUAGCCUAUCCUCCAAGCUACCAUUCUCCAUAUACUCAUAAACUAGGCAACCGUGAUCCGAACAAGCACCAAGAAGGAUAAGCAAAUGUGGGUGACGAAUUUUACUUAAGAUCUCAAGCUCCUGCUGAAAUUGCUUAGAAUUUUGAUUCUCUAUUGAAUGGAGGACUUUCACUGCUGCAGUUGUGUGAUGCAAACUGCACUUAUACACAGUUCCAUAUGCUCCCAUUCCAAUUUUAAGAUCGUCUGAGAAUGAUGAGGUUGCAGACACAAUCUCUUCCCAUGUGAAUUUCUGGUAUUGCUGCACUGGACCCACAAGAGCAUUCUGAAGCUUCUCUUUUUCUUUGGCAUCACGCAUGGCUUUAAGCUCAGCUUCUUGCCUUCGUGAAGCUUCUCUCUCAGCACAUGUCCUCGUGUAUUCAGCUUCCCUUAGUGCAGCUUUACUCCUUUCCUUCUCCUGUCUUGCUAAUUCUUUAGCCUUCUCCUCUCUAAAGUUUAUUUCCUUGAGCUUUAUUGCUUCUUCCAAACGACGUGUACUAAGAUCAUUCAACUUCCGAGAAGCAUCAAUAGCCUCACUUUGAGCCAUGGCAUAUAUUCCUCGAACGUGUCUAAGUUCAAUCCUCAGCUUUUCUAGCUCAAAGUUAAUAACUGCCUGGCUUUCAGACGAAGAGUAAUCUGUGAGCAUAUCUGAGGUGGAAGCUUGAUCAGACGCCCAUGAUUGGUAAUCAGUUGGGAAGCUUUUGCAACUAGAACUCUGACUGAUUGGAUGUCCAUUUUCUGAAGUACUAGGCCAAGAACUCACUGCAUAAUUCCCUUCCUCAAUAUCCAGAGAACGGCACCUUGAAUGAUUGGUCUCGAUAGAAUUUGUUCUUGUAUGGAGAAGGCCCUGGUUUAUAGUUGAAAUGGCUUGAACUUCAACGUCCAGAGACUGGCAUCUCGAAUGAUUGGUCUCAAUGGAAUUUGUUCUUGUGUCAAGAAGACCCUGGUUUAUAGUUGAAAGAGCUUGAAAUCGCUGCAUUGGCAGGGAAGGAGAAUGGAAUUGAGAAUAUGAUGCAAUUGAAACAGCAUCUGUUUGUAAGCUCAAAGUGUGACUUGAUGAGCUAUUAGUAGAACUUGUAACACUGCUGUCAUCUCUAAUGCUUCCAUUUGUCUCCAAAUCUGAUGGCCGGAUGGAUGACAAUUUUCCUUUUGAAACAGCAUAGACUGUACAAAAAUUUGGGGUGCAAGUGGAGAUUCUAGAGGACAGAUCAUUUCCUUUGAGUUUCCUUGUAAACAUGCCACGAGAAGAAGCUCCAAUAACAAGCUUCUUGAUAGUGCACUUAGCAACUUCCUCUGCUAUUGCAUUAGCCACAUCAUCUGAUUCAAUCACGAUAACAUCUACUUGCACCUUUCUCUGAGUACACAUGUUUUUAUAAGGAAGAAGCAUUUGAUUUGCCUGCCAUUCCUUUUCCUUCUUAUAAGCUGCUGCUACAUCCUCUCGUACUUGUGAUAUAGGAAUCAAAUUUCCCAUUGGCGUAGGGACACUAGUAAUCUUGGGGCAAACAUGCAACAACUUGAACAAAACCUUUUCCUCUUGAAUGAACUUUUCCAAUGCCCAUUUCACAACAUGUUUGCUUUUGGUUUUUCCAUUGAUAGCCAUCCCAACAGUUAAAGACAGUGGUGGAGGCAACCCAAGUACUUUUUGAGCCUCAAUUAUUUCACUUCCCUCCAUUACUCAGCCACUGCUUUAUGACACCCAAUUGUCUAUGCCACUAGAAUAAAAACCAUAAUUGAAGUUAGUAAUUAGUAACACAAAACUGGACAAUAUUCAAAACCAAUUGGAGACUUUGAAGCACGCCAAUAAAAUUUGAAUUUUACCCCAAAUUUACUCAUGUAACUCAAAAAUGAUAUAAAGCUUAACCUACCGGGAAGAAAUUACAGAACCAAUUACUUUCAACAGACACAGUAGUUCAGAACGUCGAACCCUUGUCUGUCUGGGGCUCGUUUCGGAUUGUAGAAUAGAAACCCAUCAUUCAUAUCCAAUUCAAACUUUUGAAUAAACUUGAACUCUGACGUUUCGAGGCUUUUAUAUACUACAAGUGGAAAUAAAGAAAUUAUGGUUAGUUUAGGGAAGGUAGAUGACGCAAAACAGAGUACCCAACAAGGAAGGAUAAAUUGCCUCUAAAAAAUGAAGGCAACCGAGCCGUGAGGCAUUUGCUUAUCUCUGACAAUAACCAUCAUUCUCUAUCAAUCUAUAUUUUUAAAUUAAACUGUGUUAUCACAAUUUCUAUUGAUGCAAUGAAAUGAUUAUUUUCAAAGGGGCAAAAUGUCCUGGUUUCUUUGUUUUACUUGUGGAAUUUUUGUUGCCACCCAAGCGAUUGUUGUUUGGCUCUUAACAAGACCAAAAUUUUUUUAUCUUUUCCUUAGCAUAGGGUGAUUAUUUUAAGAAGCAACAAAGAAGAUUGUUUCUUUUACGCUUGGUACCACUGUAUUAGCAGUUAAGAUUCAAGAGAGUUGGCUGGGACCAGACUCAGUG
rnacentral:misc_RNA from 1 species